rnacentral:ncRNA from 1 species
AAAUAAUUGAUUUUAAGGAUUUUUUGCAUGUAAUUUUUUUAGAGAAUUAAAGUUCUAAAUGAGGUAAUUUUUUAUUUUCAGUGAUUAGUUUUAACUUAAAUAAAUUUUUUUAUUUGAUUAAUCUUUAAUUAAAUCAGGAAAAUGUUAUGCCAGCAUUCGCGGUUAUAUUUCAUGUUUAAAUCAAUUUAUUUUUGGUGUUCAGUUGUAUUUAUAUAAAUUUUUUAAUUUAGGUGAAAUUUAUUAAUCAAAUUUACUUUUUCUGUAUAAUCUAUAAGUUAAACCAGGAUUAGAUACCCUGUUAUUUUAGUAAAAAUAUUUUAAUCCAGUAAGUAUUAUAUAUGAAAUUUAAGGAAUCUGGCGGUUUAUAAAUCUUUUUAGAGGAACCUGUAAUUUAAAUGAUAAUCCACGAUUUAUUUUACCUAAAUUUUUUUGUAUAUCUCUGUCGUUGAGUGUAAUGGAAAUUUAUUUUCUUAAUACUUUUAAGUGUGUAUGUUAGGUCAAGGUGCAAUUAUAUUUAGGUAAUUAUGGGUUACAUUAAUUUAUUUUUUUUUAUAAUUUUAUUUGUAUUUAAUUUGAAUUUGGAUUUAAAAGUAAAUAUUUUUAUUAAAUUUUUUGAAUUUAGUUCUUAUAAAUGCACAUAUCGCCCGUCAUUCUCAUAAAUUGAGACAAGUCGUAACAAAGUAGAUGUACUGGAAAGUGUAUCUAGAAA